rnacentral:rRNA from 1 species
AUUGAACGCUGGCGGCAGGCCUAACACAUGCAAGUCGAACGAGAGGCGGACGGGUGAGUAAUGUCUGGGAAACUGCCUGAUGGAGGGGGAUAACUACUGGAAACGGUAGCUAAUACCGCAUACCAUCGGAUGUGCCGAGAUGGGAUUAGCUAGUAGGUGGGGUAAAGGCGAACCUAGGCGACGAUCCCUAGCUGGUCGGAGAGGAUGAACAGCCACACUGGAACUGAGACACGGUCCAUACUCCUACGGGAGGCAGCAGUGGGGAAUAUUGCACAAUGGGCGCAAGCCUGAUGCAGCCAUGCCGCGUGUAUGAAGAAGGCCUUCGGGUUGUAAAGUACUUUCAGCGGGGAGGCGUUACCCGCAGAAGAAGCACCGGCUAACUCCGUGCCAGCAGCCGCGGUAAUUC